rnacentral:rRNA from 1 species
UACAGAGGUCUCAAGCGUUGUUCGGAUUCAUUGGGCGUAAAGGGUACGUAGGUGGCGCCGUAAGUCGGGUGUGAAAUUUCGGAGCUUAACUCCGAAACUGCAUUCGAUACUGCGGUGCUUGAGGACUGGAGAGGAGACUGGAAUUCAUGGUGUAGCAGUGAAAUGCGUAGAUAUCGCUUGGAACGCCGACGGUGAAAACAGCUCGCUGGGGACUCGCUGACGCUGAGACACGAAAGCCAGGGGAGCGAACGGG